UACGAAGGGUGCAAACGUUGCUCGGAAUUAUUGGGCGUAAAGCGCACGUAGGCGGCUUUGCAAGUCGGAUGUGAAAUCCCUCGGCUCAACCAAGGAAGUGCAUCCGAAACUGCAGAGCUUGAGUACUUAAGAGGAUCGCGGAAUUCCCGGUGUAGAGGUGAAAUUCGUAGAUAUUCGCAAGAACACCAGUGGCGAAGGCGGCUCACUGGCCCGAUACUGACGCUGAGGCACGAAAGCGUGGGGAGCAAACAGG
rnacentral:rRNA from 1 species